rnacentral:rRNA from 1 species
AACGUAGGAGACAAACGUUAUCCGGAGUUACUGGGCGUAAAGGGCGUGUAGGUGGUUUCGUAAGUCUGGCGUGAAAUUUUUCGGCUUAACCGGGAAAGGUCGUCGGAUACUGCAGAACUAGAGGACGGUAGAGGCGUGUGGAAUUCCGGGUGUAGUGGUGAAAUGCGUAGAUAUCAGGAGGAACACCGGUGGCGAAGGCGGCUAUCAGGACAGAAACUGACGCUGAGGCGCGAAAGCUAGGGGAGCAAACAGG